rnacentral:rRNA from 1 species
AGUGGCCAACGGGUGAGUAAAGUAUCGGAACGUGCCCAGUCGUGGGGGAUAACGUAGCGAAAGUUACGCUAAUACCUCAUACGAUCUAUGGAUGACAGCGGGGGAUCGCACGACCUCCCGCGAUUGGAGCGGCUGAUAUCAUAUUAUGUAGUUGGUGGGGUAAAGGCUCACCAAGCCGACGAUCUGUAGCUGGUCUGAGAGGACGACCCGCCACUCUGGGACUGAGACACGGCCUACACUCCUACGGGAGGCAGCAGUGGGGAAUUUUGGACAAUGGGCGCAAGCCUGAUCCAGCCAUGCCGCGUGCAGGAUGAAGGCCUUCGGGUUGUAAACUGCUUUUGUACGGAACGAAAAGGUUUGGCCUAAUAAGCUGAGCUCAUGACGGUACCGUAAGAAUAAGCACCGGCUAACUACGUGCCAGCAGCCGCGGUAAUACGUAGGGUGCGAGCGUUAAUCGGAAUUACUGGGCGUAAAGCGUGCGCAGGCGGUUAUGUAAGACAGAUGUGAAAUCUCUCGGUCUCAACCUGGGGAUCUGCAUUAGUGACUGCAUAGCUGGAGUACGGCAGAGGGGGAUGGAAUUCCCGCGUGUAGCAGUGAAAUGCGUAGAUAUGCGGAAGGACACCGAUGGGCGAACGCUCAUCCUCCUGGGUCCUGUACUGACGCUCAUGCACGAAAGCGUGG